UUUGAAGUUUUUUUGGUAUGACAGGUAUAGAUAUGAUUUUGGCGAACGAUCAUACAAUGUCAUGGAGCGUUUGUUUGAUGCUUGAUUGACACCAAGUUUGCUGGUAGCCGAGGCCAUGCCGUUGGUGCAGAAGACGCUGUUUGACAAAAUAAACUCCCAAGGAUAGCAGUUAAACUUAAGAUCAGUAGCUUUGGCAAGAUCCUUGCUGGCAUAGUUUUAUACUCCAAUGACUUUGCAAUCUCCGCAAUCAGAAGGGGAAAUUAUUGACGAAAAUAUUAAGAAAUACAUCAUUUCAGCAAUAGAGAUGACUGACCUUAGGCCACAAGGAACUGAAGAAGAUGGUUUUUGUCCAAUGGACGCGCAAGUACAAAUUGUGAUCCAGUGUUUUGCAUUGUUUGAAAGUAAUAAUUUGGAAGAUAUUUUGGUAGGGGUAAAAUCUAUGAGAACAUUACCCAUUGUAGUUCUCCCAGCAUCUAUUAGGAGCUGAUAUUGGUCACCUUCAAA